rnacentral:rRNA from 1 species
GACGAACGCUGGCGGCGUGCCUAAUACAUGCAAGUAGAACGCUGAAGGAGGAGCUUGCUCUUCUGGAUGAGUUGCGAACGGGUGAGUAACGCGUAGGUAACCUGCCUGGUAGCGGGGGAUAACUAUUGGAAACGAUAGCUAAUACCGCAUAACAGUAGAUGUUGCAUGACAUUUACUUAAAAGGUGCAAUUGCAUCACUACCAGAUGCACCUGCGUUGUAUUAGCUAGUUGGUGGGGUAACGGCUCACCAAGGCGACGAUACAUAGCCGACCUGAGAGGGUGAGCGGCCACACUGGGACUGAGACACGGCCCAGACGCCUACGGGAGGCAGCAGGAGGGAAUCUUCGGCAAUGGACGGAAGACUGACCGAGCAACGCCGCGGGAGUGAAGAAGGUUGUCGGAUCGUAAAGCUCUGUUGUAAGAGAAGAACGAGUGUGAGAGUGGAAAGUUCACACUGUGACGGUAUCUUACCAGAAAGGGACGGCUAACUACGUG